rnacentral:rRNA from 1 species
GAUGAACGCUGGCGGCGUGCCUAAUACAUGCAAGUCGAGCGAACGGACGAGAAGCUUGCUUCUCUGAUGUUAGCGGCGGACGGGUGAGUAACACGUGGAUAACCUACCUAUAAGACUGGGAUAAUUUCGGGAAACCGGAGCUAAUACCGGAUAAUAUUUUGAACCGCAUGGUUCAAAAGUGAAAGACGGUCUUGCUGUCACUUAUAGAUGGAUCCGCGCUGCAUUAGCUAGUUGGUAAGGUAACGGCUUACCAAGGCAACGAUGCAUAGCCGACCUGAGAGGGUGAUCGGCCACACUGGAACUGAGACACGGUCCAGACUCCUACGGGAGGCAGCGGUAGGGAAUCUUCCGCGAUGGGCGAAAGCCUGACGGAGCAACGCCGCGUGAAUGAUGAAGGUCUUCGGAUCGUAGAACUCUGUUAUUAGGGAAGAACAUAUGUGUAAGUAACUGUGCACAUCUUGACGGUACCUAAUCAGAAAGCCACGGCUAACUACGUG